UACGGGGGGGGCAAGCGUUGUUCGGAAUUACUGGGCGUAAAGGGCUCGUAGGCGGCCAACUAAGUCAGACGUGAAAUCCCUCGGCUUAACCGGGGAACUGCGUCUGAUACUGGAUGGCUUGAGUUUGGGAGAGGGAUGCGGAAUUCCAGGUGUAGCGGUGAAAUGCGUAGAUAUCUGGAGGAACACCGGUGGCGAAGGCGGCGAUCCUGGACCAACACUGACGCUGAGGCGCGAAAGCCAGGGGAGCAAACGGGGAUUAGAUACCCCUGU
rnacentral:rRNA from 1 species